AGUGAACGCUGGCGGUAGGCCUAACACAUGCAAGUCGAACGGCAGCACAGUAAGAGCUUGCUCUUACGGGUGGCGAGUGACGGACGGGUGAGGAAUACAUCGGAAUCUACUUUUUCGUGGGGGAUAACGUAGGGAAACUUACGCUAAUACCGCAUACGACCUACGGGUGAAAGCAGGGGAUCUUCGGACCUUGCGCGAUUGAAUGAGCCGAUGUCGGAUUAGCUAGUUGGCGGGGUAAAGGCCCACCAAGGCGACGAUCCGUAGCUGGUCUGAGAGGAUGAUCAGCCACACUGGAACUGAGACACGGUCCAGACUCCUACGGGAGGCAGCAGUGGGGAAUAUUGGACAAUGGGCGCAAGCCUGAUCCAGCCAUACCGCGUGGGUGAAGAAGGCCUUCGGGUUGUAAAGCCCUUUUGUUGGGAAAGAAAAGCAGCAGGUUAAGACCCCGCUGUUCUGACGGUACCCAAAGAAUAAGCACCGGCUAACUUCGU
rnacentral:rRNA from 1 species